CCGGCGCACGGGUGCGUAACGCGUAUGCAAUCUACCUUUCACAAAGGGAUAGCCCAGAGAAAUUUGGAUUAAUACCUUAUAGUAAUACGACUUGGCAUCAAGAUGUAUUUAAAGAUUUAUCGGUGAAAGAUGAGCAUGCGUCCCAUUAGCUAGUUGGUAUGGUAACGGCAUACCAAGGCUACGAUGGGUAGGGGUCCUGAGAGGGAGAUCCCCCACACUGGUACUGAGACACGGACCAGACUCCUACGGGAGGCAGCAGUGAGGAAUAUUGGACAAUGGGCGCAAGCCUGAUCCAGCCAUGCCGCGUGCAGGAUGACGGUCCUAUGGAUUGUAAACUGCUUUUAUACAGGAAGAAACACCUCUACGUGUAGAGACUUGACGGUACUGUAAGAAUAAGGAUCGGCUAACUCCGUGCCAGCAGCCGCGGUAAUACGGAGGAUCCAAGCGUUAUCCGGAAUCAUUGGGUUUAAAGGGUCCGUAGGCGGUCAGGUAAGUCAGUGGUGAAAGCCCAUCGCUCAACGGUGGAACGGCCAUUGAUACUGUCUGACUUGAAUUAUUAGGAAGUAACUAGAAUAUGUAGUGUAGCGGUGAAAU
rnacentral:rRNA from 1 species